rnacentral:lncRNA from 1 species
GAGGGACUCCUAUAAAAGGCCGGCGCGGGCGGGGGUGUGGAACGUCCUGGCUGGGAGCGAUAAGACGGCGGCUAAGCACCGCCCCCUGCCCCGGGCUUUGGCCCUUUUCCUUGCAUCUGUGUGGUUAUUUUUGGGUCGCGAGGAGUGGUGGCCUGAGAAGGCGCUGCUCCCUGGGGGCGCGAGGGAAGAGGCAGUCCCGGAAGCGGUUCUGGGGGGCUGCUUCCUCUGCCCUGGGGAGCUCCCCCAGCCCUGGGGGCAAGGGAAACGCCCUCGGGAGGUCUCUAAACAACGGCCCUGGGGGGUUUUCCUCCCCCCGGCUUGCCAAGCCUUCUCUUCCUUUGCAGAAACUGCCAAGCUCUCGGUUUCUGCCAGCCACGCUCCGUUUAUUCUUAUUUCCGCCUGUUUGCGCUCUGCGUUAUCUCCACUUCAGCUCUGUUUUCCAAAUAUUUCCCAACAAGUGGGCCCUUGUGAAAGGCAGCGGCGGGAGUGACGCUUAUAGUCCUGCUGCUUGAAGAAGCCCUGCGUAACUUCGAUUCUGCACCAUGGAAACGCGCUCUUACCGAUUUGAAUAGCAUCCCUUUAAGGCUCUGGGAAUCUGAAGGAGUCCCUUAAUAUUUAAUAUGCUGAGAUUAUGGUAUUUCUAAAAUCCUGAACGGUUUAAAAGCCACUAGUGUGAAGAAAGGAUGGUUAUCGAGAGAGAUCUGUGCCUACUAAACACAAAUGUAUCGGCGCACAGAAUCGAAUCCUCUGCUGUUCAGAUACUUGGCAAAUGAAACUCAUGGCUGAAGGGAAAGCAACAGAAAAUUCAGAAAUCAUUUCACUGUGGCAGUAUGAACAAAAAUAGAAUUUCAAGGCCUGUGAAGUUAUAGAUUCUAACUCUUUAUUUCACUUACACAGGAGAGAAAUGAGAGAGAAAGGGCCUCCAUGGAGAUUCCGGUAGAUAAAGAAAAAUUACCCAAAAUAGUAAAGAUGUUGUACCUAGAGAGCAGUGUUUUGCGAAAGGGGGUGUCACGGUGACCUUGGGGUCUCCAUCGCCAGGGUCCCUGAGCAAGUGACUUCAGAGACCUGAGCCCUAAGCCUCUUCUUUGUUAAUUCAGGAUUUCUUCUUUCUGGGGAUCAAAAAUGGCUAUUUCCAAGGUCUGGGAUCUUCCUCUCCUACGAGUAAGCAGAUAAAGGAGCAGUUUAGGUUUACAUAACAUGUUGCUUCAGGGCAAUGAUUUGCAUAGGGUGUGGGUUAGUCCUUUCUGAUAAAGUCCACAUUUAUUACUCCAUUAUAUCUAGUCCUUCCAAAACCCGAAUUCUGAAUGAAAUUGUUCACUUUUUACUCCUUUGUUGCAUUUAAACCCCUAUUAUUUAAAAAAUCCCAAGUAUUGACUAGGCAUUUGUCAUUUAAAAUAUGAAAUAGCGGGGCCGGCCGUGUGGCCAAGUGGUUAGGGUCGCGUGCUCUGCUUCGGUGGCCCAGGGUUUCACUGGUUUGGAUCCUGGGCGCAGACAUGGCGCCACUCAUCAAGCUAUGCUGAGGCAGCGUCCCACAUGCCACAGCUAGAAGGACCUACAACUAAAAUAUACAACUAUGUAUGGGGGGGCUUUGGGAGAAAAAGGAAAAAUUUAAAAAAAAAAAAGAACUAUUGUUAUUAACUUUUCCAAGACACAAAUUUCCUGAGCAAUAUCUAAUCUGUUGUUAAACCCUCACAAUGAUCACGUAGCACCAUGACAAAAACAAAGUAGACAUUAAAUAAAUAUUAGUUGGAUACUUGAUGAAUUACUAACGUAGUAAAUCUAAUUAUUCCCAAUAUACAUCUGAAAAAAAGUAUUUUGCACUAAUAUAACACUUUCUCUCCUAAGGAUGCAGAAGUCAAGUGGAUUGAUCAUUAUUAAAUUUAUUUAAAUAAUGAGGAAAUUGAGAUAUCUAAAGUUAGGGCCAUGGCCAAGAACGCAGUGCACAUCAAUGGAAAAAUCUAGAAAUACAGAUGAUGAUUAGGUGGGUGGCUGAGAGUAUGUGGUGGUGUCCAGUAGAUGAUGUUAUGUAGUCAGGCUGGUCAAUGGUUAUGGAAAAAUAGAGACACUACUGCCACCUUCCCCACCUCAUGGUGUUAGGUAAGGAAGGGACAGGAAGACACAUGUCGGGUUGUGACAACUAAGUGGUGAGUGGGUGGGGACCAGUUCCUCUACUAUCAAAAUAGUGCAGCCGUGCUCCUAGGACCAUAUUUGGUGUUCUCGCUUUGUUCCUGCCCUCUUCUCCUGAAGAGUGACUCUAGCUAUACAUUUGCUUUUUGAGGACUAGUUCAGCCACCUCGAGAAGGACACUGUAAGAGCAUCCUGAGGCGAUGUGGAAUAAUUGUUCACUGCCAGGAAAUGACAGCACUAGACAAUGUUUGUGUGGCAACCCAUGACAGGGGCUCCAUUGAGCCAAAAUGUCAUGCUGGUCUGCAAGAACAGGAAGCAGAGCUGUACGCUCUGGCAAUUUUCAUAAAUAGACAGCAAGGCUCCCGAAACUAGUGAAUUCGUGGACUGUAUCCAUGUGUGACAUGCAAGUGGUGCUUCUGUGUUUUCAGCCAUGUCCAUGCUCAGAGGAGACGAAAGGAGGCUGUUAGUGCCGUCUUUAUGACAAAAGACAACAGUCCAGGCUGACUCCUCCCAUGCCACAAAACUGCUAUAAACUCCCAAAUUGGCAAGUGUUGGCUUAUAGAUGGCACCAACCCCAGGAACGAUGAGGUCAGCUCCUGGGAUGGAAAAACAGCUUCUGGGCCAUCAAAAUCCACUUUACCUGAAAUAUUUUUUCUUGUUGUUUGGACCCGGGCUGGUGAGCUAAGUCUUCCUUCUUGCUGCCUCUUGGAGGAGAAGGUAAUAACCGAACACAGUGACAUUACUUGUCGUCUUCACACUCAUGUGCAGAGUCGAUAAACACAAAAGAAUCUACUGUGUCGGGAUGAGCUUCUGUGUCAUCGUAGCUCAGCUGGAGAUUUAGAGACCUGCAGUGGGAGUGGGUUGUUCGAUUCAACUUAACAACCAUUCAUUUCUUACCUCCUAAGUGCAGAAAAAGAGAGAUGAGAGACAGGCGACUGGACAGAGAGAUACCAAGACAAGAAAGGGAAGGGGCGGCUCUCCAGAUGCUCUAAAACCAUAAUAAAUAAAAAAUCAUUCUUAAAUCAUCUCAAACCAACAAACGCUGUCAUUGGCACGCACACACACACACUACACCCUAUAGGCACGUAGGGGAGAGAGAGAGAUAGGCAAAUAUUUGGGGUUUUGAAUGGGUAUGCGUUGAUAGGCUGAUGGAGUGCGCACGUGCGCACACACACACGCACUUUAUAGAAAGGCCCAGAGGAGGGGAGCAGAGGGUUCAGAGAAUGGCCAGAAGUCUGAUGUAAGAGCCUGCAUAGCCAAGGGAAAGGGUGGAAGCUGUAGAAGAUAAUGGCUGGAGAGGUAAAUAGGGCUUUUAACACCAGGCUGAGAAGUCCAGACCUCAAUCUGUAAGGAAGGAGAGAGCACAGCAGGUUUUGAACAGAGAAGAGACAGGAUCAGAUCUGUACUUUAAAAAAUAACCCUGGAGAGAGAUUGGAGGCACAAACAACAACAAUAGCCUCCCUUGACUGAGUAGCUAUCCCUAUAUUGCAAGUAUGGAAACAGACUCAGAAAGGUUAAGUGGUUUCACCUAGGUCACACAGCAGUUAGGUGUCAGAGCCAAGAUUUCCACUCGGAUCUGACUGAAUCUACAGUAUAAAGACCUACUCUUCAGUCCUGUCUACAAUUAGGCUACUGUCAAGGUCCAGAGGGAAUGAAGGCCUGUACACAGUGGCAGCAAAAAGAAGAGAUGGGGCAGGAGACACUGAGGAAGCAGAAUGGAUAGAUGGUUCCCUGUCUACUCAUAGUGACCUGGGGUCCUCAUAGAGAAAUCUCAGUCUGGAAGAGCGAAGAUCACGGAGGAAGAAACAAGAAGACAUUUGGUGAAUCCUGGGUGUCUUAUUCCUGCCAGAAAACCUGAAGCUCACUGUGGAGUACCAAGCAGCAAGAACUCAUUCCCGUUGUGUCUUUAGCGACAACAUACUUCUUGCCAGAUUCCUUUUCUUCACCUUCCCCUUUAUAUAUCUGGGUUUCACAUGCAGCCUGUCCAUGUCUGUGUUAUGAAUUCAUAAUGAUAGUCUCUGGUUAUCUGCAUGAAUCUGGAAAAUGCUUGUGUGUUUGCAUCAUUGAUCUGUGUAAAUAGAAAAGCCCAGUGAAAAGGGCUGGAUGCUGUUAUGAUAUUCGUGGAUAGGUCUGAGCCUGUCAUUACUCUCCUUUGUGUGACUAUUGUGAUGUUGGAUAUCUACCUUGUUUGUGCAUCAGAAUUGUUGUUUGCUGUCCAGGACGCAAGAGGGUCUACGUUAUCAUUUUGACACUGUCCAGGACUCAUUUUAGGCUAAGAGUGGCUUCUUGGAAAUACCAUUCCCUUUUCUUUGAAAUUUCAACCCCCACGGGAUGUAAGAAAGAGAUAUGGGAUUCCUCCAUCAGAGAUUUCCAACCAUUCCAAUUCUACUGGCUUCUUUCUCAAAGCCUGGAUAUAUGUUUAUGUUUCACGUCUUAAACUUCAAAAUCCUCCUCCACGCUGUGCCCUCUGACACUCCCACUCUCGGUCCCCUCCCUCCUGGCCAGGUUCUUCAGAGGGUUCUCUGUGCUGCCCCGCCCCGCCCUCACCGUGGCUCCUCGGCACACCAUGAUGGGCGUCUUCCUCAUCUCUCUCCUGUUGGGAUGUCCCUGUGUAUCUCAAGGUCAAUCGUGUUUCCCCUCAACUUGCUUUAUCUUUCAUAUUUCCUAACUCAGUGACCGGUACUACCAUCUAGCUACCCGGGCCUCAGUCUGUAAAACUGAGAGUCAUUGCACAUCCCUGUGCUUUGUCAUUCUCCCAAAUCUAAUCAAUGGCCAAAUCCUUCACUUCAUUUGGGCCCCAAAAAUGCCUCUCUCCCAGCCCUUCCCCCACCACUGCUAAGGCCUCGUUUCAGCCAUCAUGGUCUCUGGCCUGAGUGAGCCCCCUGCCAGCAUCCUCAAACCCCUCCACCCACAUCCCACCCUGCUGCCAGAGUGAUCUCCCCGAAACCAAAUUUAAUGAUGUCACCUCCUGCCCAGAACUCUUCAAUGGCACCUCGUAGCUUCUAGGCAAAAGUUCAAACGCCCAAACUGGCCGUUGCCUGAUGCUGCAACUUAAUCUGCUCUAGUCUCCCCCACU